rnacentral:misc_RNA from 1 species
GAAAAGGAAUGAGAGUGCAUUGUGUCUAACCAUUUAAAAAGAAUCUGAAAACUGCAAAGCUAAAAAAAAUCAAUGAAAACAAAGCAGUGUUCUUUCAACUUAACUGUGCAGUUUGAAGUAACAGCUGCAUAUACCUAUUCUAGUAUUUUGAAAGAGCAUUGUUAUAUGAGGAGUACAAGAUUAGAUCAGCUACAUCGUCCAUCAAGAACAGGAUGAACAGCAGGGUAAGCAAGAGUACCAUUUACCCUGAGUAGCAUUUGGAGGCGCUUUAGGAGCGGGCUCUGGGUUUGGGGUUCCUGGUUGGGAUUUUUGCUGUGAUGAGUCUGGAUCUUGGGAUACUUUAGGAGUAUGCGGUUGUGAAUUCACGGGUGAUGAUGCAUUUCGCUUUUG